CCAAAGAAUCCUAAUUUGCACUAGGAGUCCAAAAAUUGACGAGAUACCAAUUGAUUCGUGUUGCACCGAGGAAGAAUUGUGCACACGUUUAAAUCCUACUAACACAAGAAACAAGAAGGUGUUAGAUAUUGUAAAGGAAGAAUAAAAAUAAAACAAAUGAAAACCUACAGCUAAGAAUCAAUAAAAAUUGCUGAAAUCCAAAAACCCGAAAAACUGCGGAGUAACUUGACAACUUCGUUCGACAUGUUUCCAAUCUCAAAAAAUCACUAAAUUAAAUCUAGAAUGUCCUUAAAUAUUUAAUUUUUUAUCUGGAAAGUUUGGGCACCAAACUCAACCCG
rnacentral:lncRNA from 1 species